AUUGAACGCUGGCGGCAGGCCUAACACAUGCAAGUCGAACGAGUGGCGGACGGGUGAGUAAUUUCUGGGAAACUGCCUGAUGGAGGGGGAUAACUACUGUAAACGGUAGCUAAUACCGCAUACCAUCAGAUGUGCCCAGAUGGGAUUAGCUAGUUGGUGGGGUAACGGCUCACCAAGGCGACGAUCCCUAGCUGGUCUGAGAGGAUGACCAGCCACACUGGAACUGAGACACGGUCCAGACUCCUACGUGAGGCAGCAGUGGGGAAUAUUGCACAAUGGGCGAAAGCCUGAUGCAGCCAUGCCGCGUGUAUGAAGAAGGCCUUCGGGUUGUAAAGUACUUUCAGCGGGGAGGCGUUACCCGCAGAAGAAGCACCGGCUAACUACGUGCCAGCCGCCGCGGUAAUAC
rnacentral:rRNA from 1 species